rnacentral:snRNA from 1 species
GUGAUUGUUGCUCAGCAGCACAUAUAUUAAAAUCGGAACAAUACAGAGAUUAGUAUGACAUGAAAAUUUGUGAAGCAUUCCAUAUUUUU